rnacentral:rRNA from 1 species
UAAGCGGAGGAAAAGAAACUAACAAGGAUUCCCCUAGUAACUGCGAGUGAAGCGGGAAAAGCUCAAAUUUAAAAUCUGGCGGUCUUUGGCCGUCCGAGUUGUAAUUUAGAGAAGCGUCUUCCGCGCUGGACCGUGCACAAGUCUCCUGGAAUGGAGCGUCAUAGAGGGUGAGAAUCCCGUCUUUGGCACGGAUGCCUGGUGCUUCUGUGAUGCGCUCUCGAAGAGUCGAGUUGUUUGGGAAUGCAGCUCAAAAUGGGUGGUGAACGCCAUCUAAAGCUAAAUAUUGGCGAGAGACCGAUAGCGAACAAGUACCGUGAGGGAAAGAUGAAAAGCACUUUGGAAAGAGAGUGAAACAGUACGUGAAAUUGUUGAAAGGGAAACGCUUGAAGUCAGUCGCGUCGACCGAGACUCAGCCUUGCCUUGGCUUGGAGUACUUCUCGGCCCGACGGGUCAGCAUCAAUUUUGCCCCUCGGAUAAUGGCAAGGGAAAGGUGGCACCUUUACGGGUGUGUUAUAGUCUCCUGUCGAAUGCGAGGGGUGGGAUUGAGGAACUCAGCGCGCACCUCAGUGUCGGGGCUUCGGCCCACGUCACGCGCUUAGGAUGCUGGCGUAAUGGCUUUAAACGACC